rnacentral:rRNA from 1 species
CCUACGGGUGGCAGCAGUGAGGAAUAUUGGUCAAUGGACGAGAGUCUGAACCAGCCAAGUAGCGUGAAGGAUGACUGCCCUAUGGGUUGUAAACUUCUUUUAUAAAGGAAUAAAACGAGGCACGUGUGCUUUUUUGCAUGUACUUUACGAAUAAGGAUCGGCUAACUCCGUGCCAGCAGCCGCGGUAAUACGGAGGAUCCGAGCGUUAUCCGGAUUUAUUGGGUUUAAAGGGUGCGUAGGUGGGUUGUUAAGUCAGUUGUGAAAGUUUGGGGCUCAACCGUAAAAUUGCAAUUGAUACUGGCAGUCUUGAGUACAGGUGAGGUAGGCGGAAUUCGUGGUGUAGCGGUGAAAUGCUUAGAUAUCACGAAGAACCCCGAUUGCGAAGGCAGCUUACUAAACUGUGACUGACGUUGAUGCACGAAAGUGUGGGUAGCAAACAGGAUUAGAUACCCCGGUAGUC